rnacentral:rRNA from 1 species
UACGUAGGGUGCAAGCGUUGUCCGGAAUUAUUGGGCGUAAAGGGCUCGUAGGCGGCUUGUCGCGUCGGAUGUGAAAGCCCGGGGCUUAACUCCGGGUCUGCAUUCGAUACGGGCAGGCUAGAGUUCGGUAGGGGAGAUCGGAAUUCCUGGUGUAGCGGUGAAAUGCGCAGAUAUCAGGAGGAACACCGGUGGCGAAGGCGGAUCUCUGGGCCGAUACUGACGCUGAGGAGCGAAAGCGUGGGGAGCGAACAGG